AGGGGUAUAGUUAAACGGUAUAACAGUGGUCUCCAAAACCAUCAUUGAGGGUUCGAUUCCUUCUACCCCUGCCA
rnacentral:tRNA from 1 species